CUCUUCAAACCCUUGUGGCUGGUCUAUGUAUAACUCUUGAGUAAUGGGGGCAUGCAGAUAUGCAGUUUUAACGUCCAUCUGGUGGACAAUAAGAUCAUGUUUUACUGCUAACUGCAUUAAGACCCUAAUUGAAGUAAUACUGGCUGUCGGGGCGAAAGUUUCUUGAUAAUCUAUACCCUUUACCUGGCUGUAACCCUUCGCUACAUAUCUGGCCUUAAAGGACUCUAUGCCAUUCUGAUCUUGUUUGGUUGUGUACACCCAUUUCCCCCCUACUGAAGCUUUACCUUCUGGUAAAGUUGAUAAUUCGUAAGUAUCAUUUUCCUUCAGAGAGCUGAUCUCUUCCUUCAUUGCUUGCUCCCACGCCCUAGCUUGAGGUGAUCCCAUGGCUUCUGUGUAAUUUUGUGGUAAUCCACAAACUUUGUAGCAGUAAUCUACACUAAUGUGGGCACAAUCGGCAUUCUUAGGGAGGAGGGUGUCCUCUUCUAAGUAUCUGGGAGGGUUCCUUUCUCUUUGAGGAUACCGUUUUGUCUCACUGUCAUUCUCAGUAUGGUUGCAAUGCCUUCCCUCACUAUCCCUAGGCUCCUCAUCAGGCACUGUAUUUGGCGGCAUUACACUUAAAACAGGGAGGCUCAUACUAUCUAAGUCUGAUCUAGUAUCAUGAUCAGAUUUCUCAUGUACAUCACAAUCCCUGCUGGACUCAUCAGUUUGUGUGUGCUGUUCUACACUACAUUUCUUGAUGAAUCUAAUGAGUCGAUGUUUCAUGAUUUUCCCAUUUUUUGGGUAGUAGACUAGGUAAGAAGGGCUAUUUUUGUCGUAUCCCACAAAUACCCCCUUGCUGCAUCUUGAGUCUAAUUUCUUAUGCUCCUGUUCGUAAGCAAAACAUUCAGAUCCAAAGAUCCACAUUUUAGAAAGAUCAGGUACUUUCCCAGUAAGGCUAAAGUAGGGUGUUGUCUUUGUUCUCUUAUUAAAACAUCUAUUCCUAAUGUGAGCUGCGGUUUGAAUUGCAUAGGGCCAGAGAGUUUUGGGUAACCCUGAUUGAAGAAGAAGACAUCUGCCCAUUUCGAACAAUGUGCGCCAGUGCCUUUCGGCGGUGCCAUUCUGGUGUGGCGAGUAGGGAGCAGAAGUUUCAUGUUUUAUGCCACGCUCCCUUAGUAAUGUUUGAAACGCCUUACCUGUAAAUUCUGAGCCAUUGUCAGAACGGAUGCAACUUACCUUGCCAUAAGGAGUGAUGUCUGCUAGAAAUUUCUCUGUUGCUACAAAGGUGUCACUUUUACAUUUCAGAAAGUAAACAAAUACUGCUCCUGAGAAAUCAUCAGUAAAAGCUAUGCAGUACUUAAACCCCUCUCUUGAUACAGGAGAAACUGGACCUGCCAAAUCCACAUGCACUUUCUCCAAUGAUUUUUGAGAUCUUGCAUCAGGAAUCCUACUCCUGCUGUUUACAAAUUUUCCUUCUACACAUGUAUUACAACCUAACUUAGAUGACUCAAUUUUACCUGAGAAUUUCAUGCCCUUAACUACCCCCUG